rnacentral:rRNA from 1 species
CAGUAGCCGCGGGAAUACAGAGGGUGCGAGCGUUAAUCGGAUUUACUGGGCGUAAAGCGUGCGUAGGCGGCUUUUUAAGUCGGAUGUGAAAUCCCUGAGCUUAACUUAGGAAUUGCAUUCGAUACUGGGAAGCUAGAGUAUGGGAGAGGAUGGUAGAAUUCCAGGUGUAGCGGUGAAAUGCGUAGAGAUCUGGAGGAAUACCGAUGGCGAAGGCAGCCAUCUGGCCUAAUACUGACGCUGAGGUACUAAAGCAUGGGGAGCAAACAGGAUUAGAUACCCCUGUAGUCCCUGUCUCUUAUAC